AAAUGGCAAAAUCUUGCUAUCUUACACCAAUACUAGUCUUCUUCUUCAUAUCUCUCAUCGUAUCUUUCCCAUCUUCUUCUUCAGCUAGGCCCUUGAACAAGCCACUGAACCUUGCAGCCAAUGAACCACUUUUGGAGCUUGAACUUCCUCAAGAAAACGUGGUUGUUGUGGCCUACUCUUUGGACAAAGAUUCACACCAUGCUUUACCAUGUGACAUGGAACCCAGCAAGCCCAGCAAACUAGCCUUCCCUUAUAAGGCUCCAAGACUUUCCGGGAAAUAUGGACCAUUGCUUUUUAGUGCUCUUCCCAGGGAGGUAAAGACUCCACCAUCUGGAACGAGCCCAGGUAAUAAUUAAACGACGAUAACAACUAGAGAACUACACAGACUUCUGCUGCCGGAGCUCAAUAUCAUCAAGAAUAACAUUGGCCUGUAUUUAUAUACUCGAUAGUUAAUUACAUAUAUAGAUAAUUUUUUUUUUUCUAGGAUGUUAAAAUAGUUAUUACACAUACAGGUUCUACAAUGUUUUAGAUUUUCUUUAUUAUUUCAUUAAUAGAAUAUGGUUUAUUUUCUUUA